rnacentral:rRNA from 1 species
AUUGAACGCUGGCGGCAGGCCUAACACAUGCAAGUCGAGCGAGAGGCGGACGGGUGAGUAAUGUCUGUGAAACUGCCUGAUGGAGGGGGAUAACUACUGGAAACGGUAGCUCAUACCGCAUACCCUCAGAUGUGCCCCGAUGUGAUUAGCUAGUGGGUGGGGUAAUGGCUCACCUAGGCGACGAUCCCUAGCUGGUCUGAGAGGAUGACCAGCCACACUGGAACUGAGACACGGUCCAGACUCCUACGGGAGGCAGCAGUGGGGAAUAUUGCACAAUGGGCGCAAGCCUGAUGCAGCCAUGCCGCGUGUAUGAAGAAGGCCUUCGGGUUGUAAAGUACUUUCAGCGAGGAGGCGUUACUCGCAGAAGAAGCACCGGCUAACUCCGUGCCAGCAGCCGCGGUAAUUC